GAUCAUUACUGAGUGAGGGCCCCUCGGGGUCCAACCUCCCACCCGUGUCUCCUGUACCAUGUUGCUUCGGCGGGCCCGCCUCACGGCCGCCGGGGGGCCUCUGCCCCCGGGCCCGCGCCCGCCGAAGACCCCCUCUGAACGCUGUCUGAAGAUUGCAGUYUGAGCGAAAUAGCAAAAUUAAUUAAAACUUUCAACAACGGAUCUCUUGGUUCCGGCAUCGAUGAAGAACGCAGCGAAAUGCGAUAACUAAUGUGAAUUGCAGAAUUCAGUGAAUCAUCGAGUCUUUGAACGCACAUUGCGCCCCCUGGUAUUCCGGGGGGCAUGCCUGUCCGAGCGUCAUUGCUGCCCUCAAGCCCGGCUUGUGUGUUGGGCCGCCGUCCCCCCGCCCCGGGGGGACGGGCCCGAAAGGCAGCGGCGGCACCGUGUCCGGUCCUCGAGCGUAUGGGGCUUUGUCACCCGCUYUGAAGGCCCGGCCGGCGCUGGCCGACCCCCAACCAUUUUUUUUUUCAGGUUGACCUCGGAU
rnacentral:misc_RNA from 1 species